CAGUAGCCGCGGGAAUACGUAGGGUGCGAGCGUUAAUCGGAAUUACUGGGCGUAAAGCGUGCGUAGGCGGUUUUGUAAGACAGAGGUGAAAUCCCCGGGCUCAACCUGGGAACUGCCGUUGUGACUGCAAGGCUAGAGUACGGCAGAGGGGGAUGGAAUUCCGCGUGUAGCAGUGAAAUGCGUAGAUAUGCGGAGGAACACCGAUGGCGAAGGCAAUCCCCUGGGCCUGUACUGACGCUCAUGCACGAAAGCGUGGGGAGCAAACAGGAUUAGAUACCCCUGUAGUCCCUGUCUCUUAUAC
rnacentral:rRNA from 1 species